rnacentral:rRNA from 1 species
GUAGGUGGCAAGCGUUGUCCGGAAUUAUUGGGCGUAAAGCGCGCGCAGGCGGUUCUUUAAGUCUGAGGUGAAAGCCCACGGCUCAACCGUGGAGGGUCAUUGGAAACUGGAGAACUUGAGUACAGAAGAGGAAAGCGGAAUUCCACGUGUAGCGGUGAAAUGCGUAGAGAUGUGGAGGAACACCAGUGGCGAAGGCGGCUUUCUGGUCUGUAACUGACGCUGAGGCGCGAAAGCGUGGGGAGCAAACAGGAUUAGAUACCCUGGUAGUCCACGCCGUAAACGAUGAGUGCUAAGUGUUAGGGGGUUUCCGCCCCCCUUAGUGCUGCAGCUAACGCAUUAAGCACUCCGCCUGGGAGUACGGCCGCAAGGCUG